UUAAGUUAGAAAGGGCGCACGGUGGAUGCCUUGACACUAGGAGUCGAUGAAGGACGGGACUAACGCCGAUAUGCUUCGGGGAGCUGUAAGUAAGCUUUGAUCCGAAGAUUUCCGAAUGGGGAAACCCACCAUACGUAAUGGUAUGGUAUCCUUAUCUGAAUACAUAGGAUAAGGAAGACAGACCCAGGGAACUGAAACAUCUAAGUACCUGGAGGAAGAGAAAGCAAAUGCGAUUUCCUGAGUAGCGGCGAGCGAAACGGAACAUAGCCCAAACCAAGAGGCUUGCCUCUUGGGGUUGUAGGACAUUCUAUACGGAGUUACAAAGGAACGAGGUAGACGAAGCGACCUGGAAAGGUCCGUCGUAGAGGGUAACAACCCCGUAGUCGAAACUUCGUUCUCUCUUGAAUGUAUCCUGAGUACGGCGGAACACGUGAAAUUCCGUCGGAAUCUGGGAGGACCAUCUCCCAAGGCUAAAUACUCCCUAGUGAUCGAUAGUGAACCAGUACCGUGAGGGAAAGGUGAAAAGCACCCCGGAAGGGGAGUGAAAGAGAUCCUGAAACCGUGUGCCUACAAAUAGUCAGAGCCCGUUAAUGGGUGAUGGCGUGCCUUUUGUAGAAUGAACCGGCGAGUUACGAUCCCGUGCGAGGUUAAGCUGAAGAGGCGGAGCCGCAGCGAAAGCGAGUCUGAAUAGGGCGUUUAGUACGUGGUCGUAGACCCGAAACCAGGUGAUCUACCCAUGUCCAGGGUGAAGUUCAGGUAACACUGAAUGGAGGCCCGAACCCACGCACGUUGAAAAGUGCGGGGAUGAGGUGUGGGUAGCGGAGAAAUUCCAAUCGAACCUGGAGAUAGCUGGUUCUCCCCGAAAUAGCUUUAGGGCUAGCCUUAAGUGUAAGAGUCUUGGAGGUAGAGCACUGAUUGGACUAGGGGUCCUCAUCGGAUUACCGAAUUCAGUCAAACUCCGAAUGCCAAUGACUUAUCCUUAGGAGUCAGACUGCGAGUGAUAAGAUCCGUAGUCAAAAGGGAAACAGCCCAGACCGCCAGCUAAGGUCCCAAAGUGUGUAUUAAGUGGAAAAGGAUGUGGAGUUGCUUAGACAACUAGGAUGUUGGCUUAGAAGCAGCCACCAUUUAAAGAGUGCGUAAUAGCUCACUAGUCGAGUGACUCUGCGCCGAAAAUGUACCGGGGCUAAAUACACCACCGAAGCUGCGGAUUGAUACCAAUGGUAUCAGUGGUAGGGGAGCGUUCUAAGGACAGUGAAGUCAGACCGGAAGGACUGGUGGAGUGCUUAGAAGUGAGAAUGCCGGUAUGAGUAGCGAAAGACGGGUGAGAAUCCCGUCCACCGAAUGCCUAAGGGUUCCUGAGGAAGGCUCGUCCGCUCAGGGUUAGUCAGGACCUAAGCCGAGGCCGACAGGCGUAGGCGAUGGACAACAGGUUGAUAUUCCUGUACCACCUCUUUAUCGUUUGAGCAAUGGAGGGACGCAGAAGGAUAGAAGAAGCGUGCGAUUGGUUGUGCACGUCCAAGCAGUUAGGCUGAUAAGUAGGCAAAUCCGCUUAUCGUGAAGGCUGAGCUGUGAUGGGGAAGCUCCUUAUGGAGCGAAGUCUUUGAUUCCCCGCUGCCAAGAAAGCUUCUAGCGAGAUAAAAGGUGCCUGUACCGCAAACCGACACAGGUAGGCGAGGAGAGAAUCCUAAGGUGUGCGAGAGAACUCUGGUUAAGGAACUCGGCAAAAUGACCCCGUAACUUCGGGAGAAGGGGUGCUUUCUUAACGGAAAGCCGCAGUGAAUAGGCCCAAGCGAUUGUUUAGCAAAAACACAGCUCUCUGCGAAGCCGUAAGGCGAAGUAUAGGGGGUGACACCUGCCCGGUGCUGGAAGGUUAAGGAGAGGGGUUAGCGUAAGCGAAGCUCUGAACUGAAGCCCCAGUAAACGGCGGCCGUAACUAUAACGGUCCUAAGGUAGCGAAAUUCCUUGUCGGGUAAGUUCCGACCCGCACGAAAGGUGUAACGAUUUGGGCACUGUCUCAACCAGAGACUCGGUGAAAUUAUAGUACCUGUGAAGAUGCAGGUUACCCGCGACAGGACGGAAAGACCCCGUGGAGCUUUACUGUAGCCUGAUAUUGAAUUUUGGUACAGUUUGUACAGGAUAGGCGGGAGCCUUUGAAACCGGAGCGCUAGCUUCGGUGGAGGCGCUGGUGGGAUACCGCCCUGACUGUAUUGAAAUUCUAACCUACGGGUCUUAUCGACCCGGGAGACAGUGUCAGGUGGGCAGUUUGACUGGGGCGGUCGCCUCCUAAAGUGUAACGGAGGCGCCCAAAGGUUCCCUCAGAAUGGUUGGAAAUCAUUCGUAGAGUGCAAAGGCAUAAGGGAGCUUGACUGCGAGACCUACAAGUCGAGCAGGGACGAAAGUCGGGCUUAGUGAUCCGGUGGUUCCGCAUGGAAGGGCCAUCGCUCAACGGAUAAAAGCUACCCCGGGGAUAACAGGCUUAUCUCCCCCAAGAGUCCACAUCGACGGGGAGGUUUGGCACCUCGAUGUCGGCUCAUCGCAUCCUGGGGCUGUAGUCGGUCCCAAGGGUUGGGCUGUUCGCCCAUUAAAGCGGUACGCGAGCUGGGUUCAGAACGUCGUGAGACAGUUCGGUCCCUAUCCGUCGUGGGCGUAGGAAAUUUGAGAGGAGCUGUCCUUAGUACGAGAGGACCGGGAUGGACGCACCGCUGGUGUACCAGUUGUUCUGCCAAGGGCAUAGCUGGGUAGCUAUGUGCGGAAGGGAUAAGUGCUGAAAGCAUCUAAGCAUGAAGCCCCCCUCAAGAUGAGAUUUCCCAUAGCGUAAGCUAGUAAGAUCCCUGAAAGAUGAUCAGGUUGAUAGGUUCGAGGUGGAAGCAUGGUGACAUGUGGAGCUGACGAAUACUAAUAGAUCGAGGACUUAACCAU
rnacentral:rRNA from 1 species